rnacentral:rRNA from 1 species
ACCCGGAGGGGAAAAAUUUUUGGGUUUAAUAACCGGGGAUAAAGUUUUUUUUCCAGGGAAAAGAGCUUUUUUUGCCCCCAUUUGGAAGGAGCCCUGCCCCUUGAUUUAGUUUGGUUUGUAAGGGGUAAUUGGCCUUCCCAAGAACUUUGAUUCAAUAAGUUGAUUUUGAGAGGGAUGAUUCAGCCCACAUUGGGGACUGAGACCCCGGCCCAAACUUCCUUCGGGAGGCAGCAGUGGGGGAUUCUUGCACCAUGGAGGGAAAUUCUGAUGCAGCGAUGCCGCGUGAGUGAAGAAGGCCCUUGGGUUGUAAAGCUCUUUCGUCGGGGAAGAAAAUGACUGUACCCGAAUAAGAAGGUCCGGCUAACUUCGUGCCAGCAGCCGCGGUAAUACGAAGGGACCUAGCGUAGUUCGGAAUUACUGGGCUUAAAGAGUUCGUAGGUGGUUGAAAAAGUUGGUGGUGAAAUCCCAGAGCUUAACUCUGGAACUGCCAUCAAAACUUUUCAGCUAGAGUAUGAUAGAGGAAAGCAGAAUUUCUAGUGUAGAGGUGAAAUUCGUAGAUAUUAGAAAGAAUACCAAUUGCGAAGGCAGCUUUCUGGAUCAUUACUGACACUGAGGAACGAAAGCAUGGGUAGCGAAGAGGAUUAGAUACCCUCGUAGUCCAUGCCGUAAACGAUGUGUGUUAGACGUUGGAAAUUUAUUUUCAGUGUCGCAGCGAAAGCAAUAAACACACCGCCUGGGGAGUACGACCGCAAGGUUAAAACUCAAAUGAAUUGACGGGGACCCGCACAAGUAGUGGAGCAUGUGGUUUAAUUCGAAGAUACGCGCAGAACCUUACCAACACUUGACAUGUUCGUCGCGACUCUAAGAGAUUAGAGUUUUCGGUUCGGCCGGACGAAACACAGGUGCUGCAUGGCUGUCGUCAGCUCGUGUCGUGAGAUGUUGGGUUAAGUCCCGCAACGAGCGCAACCCUCACUUUUAGUUGCCAUCAUUUAGUUGGGCACUCUGAAAGAACUGCCAGUGAUAAGCUGGAGGAAGGUGGGGAUGACGUCAAGUCCUCAUGGCCCUUACGUGUUGGGCUACACACGUGCUACAAUGGUAUCUACAACAGGAAGCGAAACGGCAACGUUAAGCAAAUCCCGAAAAGAUACCUCAGUUCGGAUUGCACUCUGCAACUCGAGUGCAUGAAGCUGGAAUUACUAGUAAUCGUGAUCAGCGUCCCACUUGUAUUGCGCUUCCC